GCUUCCUUCCCCAGGCCUCUCCUGCCCCACGUGUUGUGCCUGCCCUACCCCCAACUAGCCACACCCAGGAGGAUGGAAAUCCUCUCUCUACAACCUCUGUCCCCACCCUGCACCCCAGAGCCAAUGAAACUACAGAGGUGAGAAGCUGCCACCCACCCCAGCGCCUGCCCCAUCCUGCCUCCAUUGUGACCACUCAGCUUGUACAUCUGAGCCUGAGGUCAGAGGCAGACAGAGCAGAGGGUGGCCGUGGAUCUCUCAUCCCGGAGGCUGCCUGAAACCCUCUGGAAAGCAUCCCAACUUCUUACCAACAAGAGCUGCCCUGGUUGCUAUGGUUACAGUAGAGCCACCCACCCACCAAGACCUUCCAGGACAGGAUCCCCAGGGCGGAGGACAGCCAGGGGGCGGUGGCUGCCAGUCCCAUUGCAGCUCGGGAGCUGGUGUGAGACUGUGGCUUUGGGGUCUCGGAAGGAAGAGGAGGAAGAGAAGGGAGUCCCCAGCAGGCCUCUUGGAAUCUGGAGCUGGGUGGCGCUUUCUCUGGUUUCUCCGACUGCCGCCGCUGCUCGGUGUGAAGUCUAGCUCUGGAAAAAGAAGGAGGAGAGAGACUGAUUAUGUAAGAGCGAGGCUGCCACUCAGCCACAAGCCAGCAAAGGAAGACCCACCACGCACCAAGCUGUCCCCGCGGCCAGUACUAAGACACCCAGCCUGGUCUUCACACGCAAGGAAUAACUCCAGGGCCAAGGAGUGAGCGAGUCUACAAGUUGGGGCUGGCAGCCCUGAGCGGAGACUACAGGAACAGUGGAGUUUACAAUCCAGGAGGCUGUCUGGAGGAGGUGAGGCGCCGGGUCAAUUCCAAGUGACACAUGCUACAGGGAAGGCUGAGGAGUGGAAGAUGUCUCACCCUGCAUUCACUGCCAUCUAGCUAUUUUCUGUCACCCAUCCGUGUCCCCAGUCAGAUAAAAACCGAUGGGCCAGUUUCAUUUGAA